rnacentral:lncRNA from 1 species
AUGGGGACAUAUGGGGACAUCAUGGGGACAUCAGGGCAUCAUGGGACACAAGGGGACAUAUGGGGACAUGGGGACAUGGGGACAUUAUGGGGACAUGGGGACAUGAUAGGAUACAAGGGGACAUAUGGGAACACGUGGGGACAUGGGGACAUGAGGGCAUCAUGGGGACAUGGGGACAUGUGGGGACAUAAUGGGACACAAGGGGACAUAAGGGGACAUGUGGGGACAUGGGGACAUCAUGGGACACGUGGGGGCACAUGGGAACAUAUGGGGACAUAUGGGGACAAAAGGGGACACAAGGGGACAAAAGGGGACACAAGGGGACAUAUGGGGACAUCAGGGGACAAACGGGGACACAUGCAGACAUGUGGGGACAUGUGGGAUCACAUGGGGACAUCUGCAGGUUUGGGGACAUGUGGGGACAUGGGGACACAUGGGGACAUAAGGGGACAUAAGGGGACAUAUGGGGGCAUCAGGGGACAAAAGGGGACACAUGCAGACAUGUGGGGACACGUGGGAUCACAUGGGGACAUCUGCAGAUUUGGGGACACGUGGGGACAUGGGGACACAUGGGGACAUGGGUGGGGUGGAAGCAUGGGGACACAGCGAUGGGGUGGGACACAUGGGGACGUGUGGGGAUGUGGGGACACGUGGGGACAUGGGGACAUGGGGACACAUGGGGACAUAUGGGAACACGUGGGGUCAUGGGGACAUCUGCAGACUUGGGGACAUCUGGGGACAUCAGGGGACACGUGUGGACAUAUGGGGACACGUGGGGCCAUAUGGGGACAUAUGGGGCCAUAUGGGGACAUGGGGACUCAUGGGGACACACGGGGACACACGGGGACACAGAGAUAUAUGGGAACUUACAGGAUCACAUGGGGACACGUGGAGAUGUGGGGACAUAUGGGGACAUCAGGGGACUUAAGGGGACACAUGGGGUCAUGGGGACAUAUGGGAUAUCUGGGGACAUGGGGGGACAUAUGGAAACAUAUGGGGACACAAAGGGACAUAGGGACGUAUGGGGACACAUGGGGACACAAGGGGGCAUAUGGGAACUCAUGGGGACAUGUGGGGUCAUGGGGACAUGGGGACAUCAGGGGACAUGGGGACAUGAGGAUGUGGGGACAUGUGGGGAUAUAA